UACGACCGGUGUUACGACGCUUGUUGUGUUGGUAUCUUUGUUUAUAGCGUUGGGGUGAUGAUCGACGUGGGAAUGUACGCGAGAUGCGGUUAUGGUUCCCCUCCCCCAAUUCUCUGCUUCCGCUCACUUCUCUCCUUCCCUCCUCGCCGUUCCUCCUCCUCCAACAAACCAUUGCUCCUCUCGCCGCCUCCUAACAAACAUUGAUCGCCGACGUCUCAUCGUCGAACUCUCGCGACGGCGGCAGCUCGUUCAGAUAUUCGAGGGACUGGUGCCCGCCAGGAAAUGAUACUGCCGGCUGUACGCGAUGGCGAUGAAUCCGAUAGAGGCUUGCGUUGAUUGCCUGGACGUGGAUCCGACCUGCCAGAUGAAUGCAGCAUGAAUAGUGUCUUCUUUGGAAUCUUGUUGAAGGUUUUUUUAGCAUAUUUGCAGAGUUGAUAAAGCGAACUGACAAGGACAAGGCUUGAGCCUCAUCCUGUCCGGGCUUUUGCUUCGAGGGGAGAACUUGAUAUUGCCAAAUCAGGUUUUGUUGGUUCAACUUCUCCUUUGGUUCAAGGAGGAACUGCUGAUAUACUAUGGGAAGUCAGUCAGAUAACAUUAAA